AAGAGGUUGCAGAACUUAGGCAAACAGUUAUGUUUACCAGUUUACUAUAAACAAGAUUACAAAGGAUACAGGUAAACAGUGAGAUGAAGAGUUACAUAGGGCAAGUCGUGUGAGAAGAGGUGCAGAGCUUCUGUGUUCUCACCAUCGAUGCCACCUUCCCAGCACCUUCAUGUGUUCAGCAACCUGGUCUGAAACUCCUGGGCUCAAGGAAUCCUCCCAAGAUGUGCGAUGCUUAUUGACCAUUCAAAGUAGGCAGAUGACUCGAAAUUCAGUGGAGAGAUUUAAGAGUAGUAUCCUGAGAAGAGGAAGCAACCAGAGCUCUCCCUCUGCCAUGUGAGAAGACAGUAGAAUGUGGCUGUCUGUAGCCAGAAAGAGAGCCUUACCAAGAACUAAAUUGGCUGGCACCUUAUUCUUGGACUUCCCAGCCUUCAGAUCUGUGAGAAAUAAACGGCUGUUGUUGAAGUCACCCAGUCUAUGGUGUUUUGUUAUAGCAACUGGAGAAGUCUAAGAGAAUACAGCAAAAUG